rnacentral:rRNA from 1 species
UACGGAGGGGGGUUAGCGUUGUUCGGAAUGACUGGGCGUAAAGCGCGCGUAGGCGGAUCAGGAAGUUGGGGGUGAAAUCCCGGGGCUCAACCCCGGAAUGGCCUUCAAGACUCCUGGUCUUGAGUUCGAGAGAGGUGAGUGGAAUUCCGAGUGUAGAGGUGAAAUUCGUAGAUAUUCGGAGGAACACCAGUGGCGAAGGCGGCUCACUGGCUCGACACUGACGCUGAGGUGCGAAAGCGUGGGGAGCAAACAGG